UCUCGAUUGGUCUAGUGGUAAGGAUACCUGCUUGUCAUUGAUUCGGUCACGAUCGUACAAACACCAGAAUGGUGGGAGGAAAGUCGGACAGAAAAAAUUCGCAGGUGGCCGGGGUUCGAUUCCCCGAUCGAGAG